AACCAUUAUGAAAACGACUUGAUUAUGACCGCGCUAAAUUUGAGAAUUUAAGCGAGCAAUGUUUUUGAAAUAUUUGUUACUUCACUUCAAAUUUUGAAUAUCGGAGCAAAAUUUUCUGCCUAAGUUAAAGAUAUACAGAUAUAUAGAGUUGUAGUGAUGGUGAAUGGCACCGAUAGAAAGCGAGAAGUCCCAAAGAAGGUUGGCAGGCAGAAUCAAAGUAAUUAAACUGCACAUUUUGCCCUAUUACGGUAUUAAAUACAUCCAUGUCGAUUGAUGAGCAAGAAAAUAAAUUGAACGAUUAUAUAGCAGAUUUUCUACUCAAAGUAAAGAGCAGGCGUGAAUGAAUAUCAAAAUGCAUUCAAAAAGCCAAAGCACAGACUGCAAAUGCUUAUAAGAGUCCAAGCAUUGAAGUUGUUAAGGACAAGUCUUUCAUUACCUAAGCACAACCAGUGGUGUCUAAACUAGAUCCCAUCCUUCAAGAUCAUUGGCAUAUCCAGGUGACCGCGUACAUAACAGAGCUUCAAGCAUCAGGAUCAGUGACUGACAACAUGUCUGUUAAGUCAAGUUUAGAAUGAACUGUUAUAAUUUGUGUUUGUCAACAACCAUAUGUGAUGUUUUGUCUUCAAGAGUGGCGGACGCUGAAGGAGGGAGAAAGUCACUAUCUUACAUUGCCUUUGUCAAAUCUCUCUUGUAAAAUCAAUAGCUCAGAUUUUGAAAUAUGAGCCAACAAAACUUCUACUACAAUCUGUGUCGUUAUUUUGCUAUGAAACUUUACAAAAACUUCGCUCGUGAAUUGUUCGUGUUGAAAGUAUGAGAGCUCCAAAACCUGGGGAGAGAGUGAUACCCAUGACUGGAUCACCGCUGACCAAUGAUGCUGCGCCCUGGGACAACAAUGCUCCGAAGGGCAUCAUAAUAUUAACAGGUGGUAAGUUUACAGCUGAUGAUUGUUUUCAACGAGUAUUUGAGAUGUGUUCCAUGUAAAGGCAGGUUUUAGUUCAAAACCUCUCGAAAGUUAUAAGCCAGGGGGACAUUGGAUUGGUAUAACUCACAACCUGUUAAUUUUAACACGUUCUAUAAAUAUUUACCAGCAAUGUGCGAGGUAGAUUACAUUGACAUGAAAGGUUGAGGAUUUUCAAAUGAUUUUGGAAAGGUUACGUGCCCAACAACCCUCUAAGAAAGGAACAUUUUCAUUGAUGAACAAACAAUAAUGUCUCGGACUGAUUAUCGAAGCACAUCAUUGUUAGAUGAUGCAAAAGGCCAAGUUCUACUCUGGUUAUGUCAGUUUUAAAAGCACUUCAACAACCUGCUCCAGUGGAUGUUUCAAGUCCAAAGAAAAUUGAGGUAGAUAAGAAGAAAGAAGCAUGUGUUGGUACGACAAAUACACGACCCACUAUGCCAUAUGGAACAUCAAAAUACUGGACGCUGAUUGGCCGAGUGACUUUGGCUGUGUUCUAAUUCUAGAUAUCUGUAGAUAUGACGUCAUUACUACGAAAAAUUUUUUCUACCAUUAUUGACUGACGCCAUUAAAAGCCGAAUUUGAAAAAAAUCAAAUAAAGUGAUGUUUACCACAGUUUCUAAAAACAAUAAGCGAAAGAUUUCGAACAAAAUUGAUGCAGAAAACACUAAAAAAGCGACGAAGCUGGUUUCGAACAUAUUUACAGCAUAUUUAAACAAGAAGAACUCGAAAAAACCGUUUGACAAUUACAACUAAGGGCAGGUUUCGAAAUGUUUUACAUUGAUGAGUGUAAAUAAUAUUUCAGUUUGUUGAGGUGAAUGAUAAAACAAUUAUUCAAUUCGUUUUUCGCAUGAUAUCAACAAUUAUUCAUACCUCUGUCAACGUUAUCCCCACCCCCAGCUUUGCUUCGGCAGAUGACAUUGACCUCGGUCUUAAUAAUUCUAGAUAUCAUGCUCAACUUCAUCUAAUAACUGUUCAUUAUUUAAAUAUUAACUUGCUAAACUGAGGGACAUUUUGCUGGUAUAUUUGUGUGUUAUAAUCUUUUCGUCCGAGGAAUAUUAAAUUUCACUGUGUAGCACAAA